GCCCUUGUGGUGAAAUUGGUAUACACGAAGGAUUCAAAAUCCUUUGCCUUUACGGGCGUGGGAGUUCGAGUCUCCCCGAGGGCA
rnacentral:tRNA from 1 species